rnacentral:lncRNA from 1 species
AUACAGAGUUGGGUAAUACACUCUACGGUGGAGGCCGCGGGACUCUCACGUACUGCUGGUGAGAGUGUAAAUCGGCACAACCCCUGCAGAGAGAAACUGAGUGACAGUUACAAAACUACAAAUCCACAUGCCCUCUGACCAGUCAUUCAUCUCCUGGGAAUUUGUGCUGCCGAGCCACUUUUAAGAUGACAUGCGUCUGAGAUAAUUCAUGGCAGCUUUGCUGGUAAUGGCAAACACUUGGAAAGAAACCGAGAUGUACAUCAAGAAAGCAUGAGUUAAAUAAAGCACGGUAGAUCCAAACAACUACUAUGUGGCUAUAAAAAGGAAUGAGGACGUGCUCUGUGUACUGAUGGGGACAGAAGUUUCAGGACAUUUUGUAAGGUGACUGAAAAACAAGACAGAUGCUUCCAGAGUCAAUCACUGAGCAGUGGAUCUACGACAAACCAUCCCUUCUCUUCGGUCACUGAGAUUUCCACAGUUCGGCUGCUGACUUGCCUGCAAGCCCUGCCAUCGACUGAGACCCAGCUCCGCCAUUCUUGGCACAUAGCCCGGUAA